rnacentral:rRNA from 1 species
AGAAUCAACGCUGGCGGCGUGCCUAACACAUGCAAGUCGAGCGCCCAGCAAUGGGAGCGGCGGACGGGUGAGUAACACGUGGGAACAUGCCCUUUGGUACGGGACAACUCAGGGAAACUUGAGCUAAUACCGUAUGAGCCGGUAACGGGAAAGAUUUAUCGCCAAAGGAAUGGCCCGCGUCCGAUUAGCUAGUUGGUGAGGUAAUGGCUCACCAAGGCACCGAUCGGUAGCUGGUUUGAGAGAACGACCAGCCACACUGGGACUGAGACACGGCCCAGACUCCUACGGGAGGCAGCAGUGGGGAAUCUUGGACAAUGGGGGCAACCCUGAUCCAGCCAUGCCGCGUGAGUGAUGAAGGCCUUCGGGUUGUAAAACUCUUUCGACGGGGACGAUAAUGACGGUACCCGUAGAAGAAGCUUCGGCUAACUUCGUGCCAGCAGCCGC